rnacentral:rRNA from 1 species
UAGCGGCGGACGGGUGAGUAAUGUAUAGGGAGCUGCCCGACAGAGGGGGAUACCAGUUGGAAACGACUGUUAAUACCGCAUAACGUCUACGGACCAAAGUAUGGGACCUUCGGGCCAUAUGCUGUCGGAUGCACCUAUAUGGGAUUAGCUAGUUGGUGGGGUAAUGGCUCACCAAGGCGACGAUCCCUAGCUGGUUUGAGAGGAUGAUCAGCCACACUGGAACUGAGACACGGUCCAGACUCCUACGGGAGACAGCAGUGGGGAAUAUUGGACAAUGGGCGCAAGCCUGAUCCAGCCAUGCCGCGUGUGUGAAGAAGGCCUUCGGGUUGUAAAGCACUUUCAGCGAGGAGGAAGGGUUGGUGGUUAAUAGCCAUUAAUUUUGACGUUACUCGCAGAAGAAGCACCGGCUAACUCCGUGCCAGCAGCCGCGGUAAUACGAGGGGUGCAAGCGUUAAUCGGAAUUACUGGGCGUAAAGCGCACGUAGGCGGUUUGUUAAGUUGGAUGUGAAAGCCCCGGGCUCAACCUGGGAAUUGCAUUCAAGACUGGCAAGCUAGAGUAUGUGAGAGGGGGGUAGAAUUCCAAGUGUAGCGGUGAAAUGCGUAGAGAUUUGGAGGAAUACCAGUGGCGAA